AUGGGAUGGCUCGCGGCUGUUUUUGUUUUAGGACUCCUCGUGGGUUCCCUUGGCAACAGCGAAGCCAACACGGGGAUAACAGCCUGGGAACACAAAGGCAGCACUGACACCCUUCCCCUCAGCAGCCAAGGACGAGAGCUGGUGACAGUGACCUUGGGACAGGCCAGCUCGAUGGGAAGGUGUCUCCAGCCAACCUUUCAACGCCCCAGUCUAAUUUCUUCUUUUGUGGAAAAACUCCACCUGCAAGGCACAGGCUGGAUCCCAGAUCCUACAACACCUCAGAGCAAGGGCUCUUCGUCAUCUUUAAUCCACGAGGCACAUCAGCACUUUGAUUUGUGAUUUCCCAGUGGGAAUGAAAGCUGGACACACAUGGGAAGCACAUCUGUGGUAAGUGAUAAUCUAAUUUCCUAUUGGAGAAGCAGCAGGACCAGCCAUGGGCUGGACUCUUUCUGUGGAGAACAUUAAAUUCUGGGCAACUUUCAGUGGAAAACUGUCCCCCAUGAGGCCCUGACUGACUGCUUGAAAUCCCACUGCUCCCUCUUGUCCUGGCACUUGUUAUCUGGGAGAAGAGACUGAUCCCACCCAGCUCCACCCUCCUGGGAGCUUUAAUAGGGAUGGGUUUGGCCCCAAGAGAGGUUUGGCCAAGCCAUGGGUGAGGUUUGGUGCCACACAGAGCCCCAGACCAGCACCACCGACCCUGCCCAGAGGAACCAGGCCUGGCACGGUGGGAUUAACCCUUCAGGGAAAGGUUUAGGGCUGGAGGAACUGCUGUUCCACAUCAGGCAACAGCACCAGCUCUGACAGGGGCAGAGAGAAGCCUGUCCAUCAGGGAAGGACACGACACCCUGGUGCCAUGGGAUGUUUUCUCCAAGGGAAGGGCUGGAAUGCUGCCACGGCCCCGGGGGCAGAUCUGUUCCAAGCCUGGAGAUUUGUUUAGUGUUCCCUCAUGCCAGGAGUCCUGGAGUGCAAGGUCUCUGACACCACUCCUGCGAGAAAUAUUCCCUGCAGGAAGCUCGAUUUCCUAAAAAUCCAGUGCUGUGAUGAGGUGUCCACAUGCUCAGGGCACUUUGUGCUGCUGCCUUUAACCCCGGGACAAAACCAGCCUGUAACCUCUCCCUGACAUGGAGACAUUCAUGGAGCUGGUUUUAGGCCAGUCCAAGAGCUUUCCUGACAUUUCUGUAUUUUGCUCAUUGCUGAGCAGCAGGAGCUCUGGCUUCCUGGGAGGGAGGGAGAGAAAGGAAAUAUUUGUUCUCCAAAUAUUUCUGGUUUGGAUCCAGGGUUCAGACCUUCCCUCAUGUUCCAAACGUUGUCCUGUGUCUCUCCCCUCACUUUCCGUGCUGAUCCUCUCUGGCCACACAGACUUUACUAUGGCUGCUGCCACAGGACAGAAACAGGGAGCUGGUGGAUGAGAGCCUGGAUUUUAAAUCAUGGAAUCACAGACUAGCUUGGGCUGGAAGGAGCUUAGAGCUCAUCUCAUUCCACCCCCUGCCAUGGGUAGGGACACCUUCCACUAGCCCAGGCUGCUCCAACCCCCAUCCAACUCGGAUUCUAUGAGGAUUGGCCAUCAUUCCCUGCCCUUUGGCAGGGGGUUGGAACUAGAUGAGCUUUAAGGUCUCUUCCAACCCAGACCUUCUGGGAUUCCAUGGUUUUAAUUCCACCUCUGAAGAUGUGCUGCUCUUGGAGAGACUCUUCUGCUACUUUUCUGCUCUUGGAAGGUAAACAGCAUUUCAUUACACGAUUAAUAAACCCAUGGACAAACCAACGUUAUUGCA
ensembl:lncRNA